UGCAAGUCGAACGAAGUAGCAAUACUUAGUGGCAGACGGGUGAGUAACAUGUGGGUAUCUACCCUUUGGCCUGGAAUAACACGAGGAAACUUGUGCUAAUACCGGAUAAGUCUUUACGGAGAAAGCUUUAUGCACCAUUGGAUGAGCCUGCACUUGAUUAGUUUGUUGGUAGGGUAAUGGCCUACCAAGACUAUGAUCAAUAGCUGAUUUGAGAGGAUGAUCAGCCACAUUGGGACUGAGACACGGCCCAAACUCCUACGGGAGGCAGCAGUGGGGAAUCUUGCACAAUGGAGGAAACUCUGAUGCAGCGAUGCCGCGUGAGUGAAGAAGGCCCUUGGGUUGUAAAGCUCUUUCGUCGGGGAAGAAAAUGACUGUACCCGAAUAAGAAGGUCCGGCUAACUUCGUGCCAGCAGCCGCGGUAAUACGAAGGGACCUAGCGUAGUUCGGAAUUACUGGGCUUAAAGAGUUCGUAGGUGGUUAAAAAAGUUGGUGGUGAAAUCCCAGAGCUUAACUCUGGAACUGCCAUCAAAACUUUUUAGCUAGAGUAUGAUAGAGGAAAGCAGAAUUUCUAGUGUAGAGGUGAAAUUCGUAGAUAUUAGAAAGAAUACCAAUUGCGAAGGCAGCUUUCUGGAUCAUUACUGACACUGAGGAACGAAAGCAUGGGUAGCGAAGAGGAUUAGAUACCCUCGUAGUCCAUGCCGUAAACGAUGUGUGUUAGACGUUGGAAAUUUAUUUUCAGUGUCGCAGCGAAAGCGAUAAACACACCGCCUGGGGAGUACGACCGCAAGGUUAAAACUCAAAUGAAUUGACGGGGACCCGCACAAGUAGUGGAGCAUGUGGUUUAAUUCGAAGAUACGCGCAGAACCUUACCAACACUUGACAUGUUCGUCGCGACUCUA
rnacentral:rRNA from 1 species